rnacentral:rRNA from 1 species
UACGGGGGGGGCAAGCGUUGUUCGGAAUUACUGGGCGUAAAGGGCUCGUAGGUGGCCGACUAAGUCAGACGUGAAAUCCCUCGGCUUAACCGGGGAACUGCGUCUGAUACUGGACGGCUUGAGUUCGGGAGAGGGAUGCGGAAUUCCAGGUGUGGCGGUGAAAUGCGCAGAUAUCAGGAGGAACACCGAUGGCGAAGGCAGGUCUCUGGGCCGAUACUGACGCUGAGGAGCGAAAGCGUGGGGAGCGAACAGG